rnacentral:rRNA from 1 species
UACGUAGGGUCCGAGCGUUGUCCGGAAUUAUUGGGCGUAAAGGGCUCGUAGGCGGUUUGUCGCGUCGGGGAGUGAAAACCUACAGCUUAACUGUGGGCUUGCUUUCGAUACGGGCAGACUUGAGGCAUGCAGGGGAGAACGGAAUUCCUGGUGUAGCGGUGAAAUGCGCAGAUAUCAGGAGGAACACCGGUGGCGAAGGCAGCUCGCUGGGACGGUACUGACACUGAGGCGCGAAGGCGUGGGGAGCAAACAGG